rnacentral:rRNA from 1 species
GUGAGGAAUAUUGGACAAUGGGCGCAAGCCUGAUCCAGCCAUGCCGCGUGCAGGAAGACGCAUCUAUGGUGUGUAAACUGCUUUUGUACGGGAAGAAACACUCCCUCGUGAGGGAGCUUGACGGUACCGUAAGAAUAAGGAUCGGCUAACUCCGUGCCAGCAGCCGCGGUAAUACGGAGGAUCCAAGCGUUAUCCGGAAUAAUUGGGUUUAAAGGGUCCGUAGGCGGUUUACUAAGUCAGUGGUGAAAGCCCAUCGCUCAACGAUGGAACGGCCAUUGAUACUGUUAGACUUGAAUUACAAGGAAGUAACUAGAAUAUGUAGUGUAGCGGUGAAAUGCUUAGAUAUUACAUGGAAUACCAAUUGCGAAGGCAGGUUACUACUUGUGGAUUGACGCUGAUGGACGAAAGCGUGGGGAGCGAACAGGAUUAGAUACCCGAGUAGUCC